rfam:Gossypium hirsutum cultivar TM-1 chromosome 5, whole genome shotgun sequence
GCACAAAAAAAUUAAAAAAAAGGUUUAUUUUUGGAAAUUUAGUUGUUGGAACACGGACAAAAGAGUGCUGACCCGCGAGGGUGAGCUAACUCUAAAAACCCGUCCUCAGUUCGAAUUGCAGGCUGCAACUCGCCUGCAUGAAGCCGGAGUCGCUAGUAAUCGCCGGUCAGCCAUAUGUCGGUGAAUUCGUUCUC